AGCUUUUCACAGUUGUGAUAUUGUAGCCAGUGAGGUUUAUCCAAGGCACAAUCAUUGCUAACUAAAAUUUUUUUCCCAAUCAAGCUGCUUCUUCAGGUGAUUCUAGCACUGCUUGC
rnacentral:snRNA from 1 species